AGAGUUUGAUCCUGGCUCAGGAUGAACGCUAGCUACAGGCUUAACACAUGCAAGUCGAGGGGAAACGAUAUUGGAAGCUGCUUCCGAUAGGCGUCGACCGGCGCACGGGUGAGUAACGCGUAUCCAACCUGCCCACCACUUGGGGAUAACCUCGCGAAAGUAAGACUAAUACCCAAUGAUAUCUCUAGAAGACAUCUGAAAGAGAUUAAAGAUUUAUCGGUGAUGGAUGGGGAUGCGUCUGAUUAGCUUGUUGGCGGGGUAACGGCCCACCAAGGCAACGAUCAGGUAGGGUUCUGAGAGGAACGGUCCCCCCAUUGGAACUGAGACACGGUCCAAACUCCUACGGGAGGCAGCA
rnacentral:rRNA from 1 species